rnacentral:sRNA from 1 species
AUUCCCGUGUGUUCCUCAGCCAUCGCUCGGGCCAGGGCCUGGGUGCGCAGGCUGUCCCCUGCCCCGUAGGCCCCCAGCCUAGUUCAAUAGUCAAGCAUUUUGAAGAGAAUGAAUGAAAUCCAGUUCUUGACGGUCCUAAAGGAAUACUUGACGUCUAUGAAGUUGAGCAGUUUCCAGGUUUACCUGGAUUCUGGGCAAACACAGUCUGAGAAGUAGCUGGGGCUCCAGGCAGGUGCUCAGGGGGCAUCUCUGCAGGGGAACUGCCAGGCUUUCGGGAGGGCUGGCCUCACCCCCAAGGCCUCACUGCCAUGCUUGUCUUGGCAGAAUCACCUCCACUGUGGCCUGCGACAUGGACCUGGCCAAAUACCCCAUGGACGAGCAGGAGUGCAUGCUGGACCUGGAGAGCUGUGAGUGGGUGUACAAGGCGGGCAGGGGCUUCUCUCGGAGGGGCCACGCUGGCUUCUCCAGCAGUGGAUGGGGGCUCAGACUGUCAGCCCGGGGCCUGGACAAGGCUGGCCCGGCUCAGGGUGCAGGAAAGCACCAAACCAGCUUCUGCAUGCAAGAAGCCUGGGCAGGAGGAGAAGGGGCCAGAAGGCCUGGAGCAGUCUGGCUUGUGGGUCUGUGCCCUGCCUGGGGAGCCGGGCCGUGGAGCCCAGACAUGGCACGGAUUGAUAGUGUUGAGCCAGUGCAGCAGCCCCUGUGUGUCACCUGACAACGGUGACCCCAUCUGUGUCCCAUCCACCUGCCCAGCGGAGCCCGACGUGGUCCCAGAGCCGAAGGCCUCCUCGCUCCUGGCUGGGGUCCUGCUCGGUCCCCAUCACGAUGGCGUCGGCCCCCUGCAGGCUUCCUGUGUGGACGGAGCGCUCCUGCCAGGGCUCCCGGGGCAGGGCCAGGCUCUGCCGCCCACCUGUGUGCUUUUCCUCCAGACGGUUACUCAUCGGAGGACAUUGUCUACUACUGGUCGGAGAGCCAGGAGCACAUCCACGGGCUGGACAAGCUGCAGCUGGCGCAGUUCACCAUCACCAGCUACCGCUUCACCACGGAGCUGAUGAACUUCAAGUCCGCUGGCCAGUUCCCACGGCUCAGCCUGCACUUCCACCUGCGGAGGAACCGCGGCGUGUACAUCAUCCAGUCCUACAUGCCCUCCGUCCUGCUGGUCGCCAUGUCCUGGGUCUCCUUCUGGAUCAGCCAGGCGGCGGUGCCCGCCAGAGUGUCUCUAGGCAUCACCACGGUGCUGACGAUGACCACGCUCAUGGUCAGUGCCCGCUCCUCCCUGCCGCGGGCGUCAGCCAUCAAGGCACUGGACGUCUACUUCUGGAUCUGCUAUGUCUUCGUGUUUGCCGCCCUGGUGGAGUACGCCUUUGCGCAUUUCAACGCCGACUACAGGAAGAAGCAGAAGGCCAAGGUCAAGGUCUCCAGGCCGAGGGCAGAGAUGGACGUGAGGAACGCCAUUGUCCUCUUCUCCCUCUCCGCUGCCGGCGUCACGCAGGAGCUGGCCAUCUCCCGCCGGCAGCGCCGCGUCCCGGGGAACCUGAUGGGCUCCUACAGGUCGGUGGGGGUGGAGACAGGGGAGACGAAGAAGGAGGGGGCGGCCCGCUCAGG